GCAGGCUGCAACUCGCCUGCAUGAAGCUGGAAUUGCUAGUAAUCGCGGAUCAGCAUGCCGCGGUGAAUACGUUCCCGGGCCUUGUACACACCGCCCGUCACACCAUGAGAGUCGGGAACACCCGAAGUCCGUAGUCUAACCCGCAAGGGAGGGCGCGGCCGAAGGUGGGUCCGGUAAUUGGGGUGAAGUCGUAACAAGGUAAC
rnacentral:rRNA from 1 species